rnacentral:rRNA from 1 species
AUGACAUGCUCCCUGCAGAGCGGGCAGGUGCCCUUGCUCUUGAUCCACAGCGCAAGGCAGCCACGGUGGAACACGUGGUGGCACGCCGGCACCUCGCUGCACUCCGCACCGCCGACCAGCGCCUCCAAGCAGAUCGCGCACACCACAACCGACGCUCCGACCGUCCCUCGGCCGCCCUCUGCAUCGUCGGGGUACAAGAAGUAG